UCGCCUGUUUAUCAAAAACAUCGCCUCUUGCCAACAAAUGAAGUAUUAGAGGUCCCGCCUGCCCUGUGACCAAAGUGUUUAACGGCCGCGGUAUCCUGACCGUGCGAAGGUAGCGUAAUCAUUUGUCUUUUAAAUGAAGACCAGUAUGAAUGGCAUCACGAGGGUUUAGCUGUCUCCUUCCCCCAGUCAAUGAAAUUGAUCUGCCCGUGCAGAAGCGGACAUAAAAACAUAAGACGAGAAGACCCUAUGGAGCUUUAGGCUAAAAGUCAAACAUGUACAAGAACCCGGAACAUUAACAAAUAAUAUAAAGGGCCCAAAUCUAACCAAAUGUAAAAUGACCUAUGUGCCUUCGGUUGGGGCGACCAUGGAGUAAAACGAAACCUCCACAUGGAAUGGGGAUAUCCCCUAAACCAAGAAAGACAAUUCUAAGUAACAGAACAUCUGACCAAAAAUGACCCAGGACCUAGUCCUGAUCAAUGAACCAAGUUACCCUAGGGAUAACAGCGCAAUCCUUUCCCAGAGUCCAUAUCGACGAAAGGGUUUACGACCUCGAUGUUGGAUCAGGACAUCCUAAUAGUGCAGCCGCUAUUAAGGGUUCGUUUGUUCAACGAUUAAUAGUCCUACGUGAUCUGAGUUCAGACCGG
rnacentral:rRNA from 1 species